GACAGAGGGUGCAAACGUUGUUCGGAAUUACUGGGCGUAAAGCGUGUGUAGGCGGCUACGCAAGUCGGAUGUGAAAGUCCCGGGCUCAACCCGGGAAGUGCACCCGAAACUGCGUGGCUUGAGUACCGGAGAGGUUGGUGGAAUUCUCGGUGUAGAGGUGAAAUUCGUAGAUAUCGAGAGGAACACCGGUGGCGAAGGCGGCCAACUGGACGAGUACUGACGCUGAGACACGAAAGCGUGGGGAGCAAACAGG
rnacentral:rRNA from 1 species